CUGUUCUGUAGUAUGACAUGGCAUUGUCAUUAAGCAAGUGAAUGCAAGGACUGGCUUUUUCUCUGUCUAAAUGGAUCUUCUCUACAGAUGUUUGUAGCUCUGUCCAUUUUUUCAGGCUUUCCUUUAUUUCAGAAGAACUUGGCUGCACUGAUUAUUGAUGCUCCCCCUCCUCUCCAGAAAGCUCCUUAGCUGCCAUUCUCUGUUGCUCAGCCAGAAGUUGCUGAAAUUCCUCUGCAGACAAUUCCUCUGAGUGCUCCUCCACCAGAUCCUCAACAUCACCACUGUCUACCUGCAAGCCUACGUACUCUGCUAUAGUGACAAUGUCAUCAACUGCAGGGAUGAAGCUCUGAGGAUCGUGCUGGUGCAGAAGCAGACUCGUGCUGGCCAGCAGACAGGUUCAAGCCAGCUUCACUACACCCUACCUCCUAUGUCAAUACUCGCUACAAAAAACUCACUGGAAGAAACGAAUAAUCCAAAUUAUCUGAGAUCCAUGAAAGAAACUGAACUUGAAGUUAAAAUCUUCCUACGACAACAAAACAAAAAACCAUAAAAACCCUCCAGGCCUGGAUGCCUUUGCUGGAGAAUUCCAUCAAACAUUUAAGGAAGGUAUAGUACCGGUUCUAUAAAUAAGUGAUGUGAAAGGUUUUUUUUUUUUUUUGGUACUGGAGAUCGAACUCGGGACCUUGUGCUUGCAAGGCAGGAAGGAGCCAGAACCACUGAGCUAAAUCCCUGGCCAUGAAAGAUUAUUUUUAUAAAAACAGUGAUAUAGAGCAGAAUGCAAAAUCCACACGAG
rnacentral:lncRNA from 1 species